GAUGAACGCUAGCGGCAGGCCUAACACAUGCAAGUCGAGGGGUAACUAGAGUGAUAGCAAUAUUACUUUGGCUAGACCGGCGCACGGGUGCGUAACACGUAUGCAACCUACCUUAUACUGGGGAAUAACUUCGAGAAAUCGGCGCUAAUACCCAUAACAUUGCGAAGAGGCAUCUCUUUGCAAUUAAAGCUCCGGCGGUAUAAGAUGGGCAUGCGCCCAAUUAGCUAGUUGGUGAGGUAACGGCUCACCAAGGCUACGAUUGGUAGGGGUUCUGAGAGGGUGAACCCCCACACUGGUACUGAGACACGGACCAGACUCCUACGGGAGGCAGCAGUGAGGAAUAUUGCGCAAUGGACGAAAGUCUGACGCAGCCAUGCCGCGUGCAGGAUGACGGCCCUAUGGGUUGUAAACUGCUUUUGUACGGGAAUAAACCCUUCUACGUGUAGGAGGCUGAAGGUACCAUAAGAAUAAGCACCGGCUAACUCCGUGCCAGCCGCCGCAGUAA
rnacentral:rRNA from 1 species